rnacentral:rRNA from 1 species
AACGAGCGCUGGCGGCGUGUCUUAAGCAUGCAAGUCGUGCGGCAAGGCGGGGCAACCCGCCCUAGAGCGGCGGACUGGUGAGUAACGCGUGGGUGAUCUGCCUUUGGGAUGGGGAUAGCCAUUAGAAAUAGUGGGUAAUAACGAAUACGUUCGCCAUGCUGCGGCAUGGCGAGGAAAAGCGCUACGGCGCUGCCCGAAGAUGAGCCCGCCUCCCAUUAGCUAGUUGGUGAGGUAAUGGCCCACCAAGGCGAUGAUGGGUAGCCGGCCUGAGAGGGUGUACGGCCACACUGGGACUGAGAUACGGCCCAGACUCCUACGGGAGGCAGCAGCUAAGAAUAUUCCGCAAUGGACGAAAGUCUGACGGAGCGACGCCGCGUGGAUGACGAAGGCCGAAAGGUUGUAAAGUCCUUUUGUUGGGGAAGAAUAACCAUGGGAGGGAAUGCCCGUGGGAUGACAUGAACCGACGAAUAAGCCCCGGCUAACUACGUGCCAGCCGCCGCCGUAA